UACAGAGGUCUCAAGCGUUGUUCGGAUUCAUUGGGCGUAAAGGGUGCGUAGGCGGCGCGGUAAGUCAGGGGUGAAAUCCUGGAGCUCAACUCCAGAACUGCCUUUGAUACUGGCGAUCUUGAGUCCGGGAGAGGUGAGUGGAACUGCGAGUGUAGAGGUGAAAUUCGUAGAUAUUCGCAAGAACACCAGUGGCGAAGGCGGCUCACUGGCCCGGUACUGACGCUGAGGCACGAAAGCGUGGGGAGCAAACAGG
rnacentral:rRNA from 1 species